GGAAGUAAAAGUCGUAACAAGGUCUCCGUUGGUGAACCAGCGGAGGGAUCAUUACCGAGUUUACAACUCCCAAACCCAAUGUGAACGUUACCAAACUGUUGCCUCGGCGGGAUCUCUGCCCCGGGUGCGUCGCAGCCCCGGACCAAGGCGCCCGCCGGAGGACCAACCAAAACUCUUAUUGUAUACCCCCUCGCGGGUUUUUUACUAUCUGAGCCAUCUCGGCGCCCCUCGUGGGCGUUUCGAAAAUGAAUCAAAACUUUCAACAACGGAUCUCUUGGUUCUGGCAUCGAUGAAGAACGCAGCGAAAUGCGAUAAGUAAUGUGAAUUGCAGAAUUCAGUGAAUCAUCGAAUCUUUGAACGCACAUUGCGCCCGCCAGUAUUCUGGCGGGCAUGCCUGUCCGAGCGUCAUUUCAACCCUCGAACCCCUCCGGGGGGUCGGCGUUGGGGAUCGGCCCUUUACGGGGCCGGCCCCGAAAUACAGUGGCGGUCUCGCCGCAGCCUCUCCUGCGCAGUAGUUUGCACACUCGCAUCGGGAGCGCGGCGCGUCCACAGCCGUUAAACACCCCAAACUUCUGAAAUGUUGACCUCGGAUCAGGUAGGAAUACCCGCUGAACUUAACCUCCGCUUAUUGAUAUGC
rnacentral:rRNA from 1 species